GGAGAUCUGGUCUAGUGGUAGGGCACAGGCACCUCAAUUCGUUAGAGGUGGGCAAUUCAUUAGCCCAUGUUUCAUUCCUUGAUUAAUAGGCAUGUCCUGGAUGUCAGUUCGAUUCUGACGGUCUCCA